GCAGCGACGUGCACGCGCGUGUGCGCCGCCGCCGCCCGGCAGAGUGGGCGCCUCCAACAUCAGGAGCGCGCACGUCGCGCAGAGGGGCCUGGACGAGCGCGCUUCCGACCCGCCGCCUCCUCCUCCUCCCCUCCUUCUCGGCCCGCCCCCUCCCUCGCCUCUUCCUGCCAGGCGGCCUUUCUCCCCUCCCCUCUCAGCUCCCUCCGCCCUCCUCGGGCUCCAGCGGUGGCGGAGCGAACGGGACCGGCCCGGCUUCAGAGCGCGAGGUGGAGGGUGGAACGCGGGCGCCUGAAGGAGUUGUUGUCUCGGCAGCGCCCGUGGAGACGUGAAGAGGUGGAUGUGGGAAGAGAAGUUUGCAGAACUGAAAUGGAGGUCAGAGCUUCAUUACAGAAGGUUAGUGGAUCAUCUGAUUCUGUGGCUGCAAUGAACAGUGAAGAAUUUGUUUUGGUUCCUCAGUAUGCAGAUGAUAAUUCUACAAAACAUGAAGAAAAACCUCAACUGAAGAUAGUUUCUAAUGGUGAUGAACAAUUGGAAAAAGCCAUGGAAGAGAUUUUGAGAGAUUCCGAGAAAAGGCAAAGCAGUCUUCUUGUUGAUUGUCAAAGUUCCAGUGAGAUUUCAGACCAUUCGUUUGGAGAUAUUCCAGCCAGCCAAACAAAUAAGCCAUCUCUUCAGUUAAUUUUGGAUCCGUCUAACACAGAAAUUUCUACACCCAGACCAUCUUCUCCAGGUGGACUACCUGAAGAAGAUAGUGUUUUAUUUAAUAAACUGACCUACUUAGGAUGUAUGAACGUUUCUUCCCCACGUAAUGAAGUAGAGGCUUUACGGGCAAUGGCAACCAUGAAAUCUUCCAGUCAAUACCCCUUUCCUGUUACCCUGUAUGUACCAAAUGUUCCAGAAGGUUCUGUGAGAAUUAUAGACCAAUCCAGCAAUGUGGAGAUAGCAUCUUUUCCAAUCUAUAAGGUGUUAUUCUGUGCACGUGGACAUGACGGAACAACAGAGAGCAAUUGCUUUGCAUUUACAGAGAGUUCCCAUGGUUCAGAAGAAUUUCAGAUACAUGUUUUCUCCUGUGAAAUUAAAGAGGCAGUAAGCAGAAUUUUGUACAGUUUCUGUACAGCAUUCAAACGUUCUUCCAGACAAGUGUCUGAUGUUAAAGACUCAGUUAUUCCUACCCCCGACAGUGAUGUGUUUACCUUCAGUGUCUCCUUGGAGGUAAAAGAAGACGAUGGAAAAGGAAACUUUAGCCCUGUGCCUAAGGAUAGAGAUAAAUUUUAUUUCAAAUUAAAGCAAGGAAUAGAGAAGAAGGUUGUGAUUACAGUGCAGCAACUUUCUAACAAAGAAUUAGCUAUUGAAAGAUGUUUUGGAAUGUUAUUAAGCCCAGGUCGAAACGUGAAGAACAGUGACAUGCAUUUACUGGAUAUGGAAUCCAUGGGAAAGAGCUAUGAUGGGAGAGCUUAUGUCAUCACUGGCAUGUGGAACCCCAAUGCACCAGUAUUUCUGGCACUUAAUGAGGAAACCCCAAAAGAUAAGCAAGUAUACAUGACUGUGGCAGUGGAUAUGGUAGUCACAGAGGUGGUGGAGCCUGUUCGCUUUCUCCUGGAGACAGUAGUCCGUGUGUACCCUGCAAAUGAGCGAUUUUGGUAUUUCAGCAGAAAGACUUUCACAGAGACUUUCUUCAUGAGAUUGAAACAGUCUGAGGGAAAAGGCCAUACCAAUGCUGGAGAUGCAAUAUAUGAGGUGGUGAGUCUACAGCGAGAGUCUGACAAGGAGGAACCAGUCACUCCUACUAGUGGAGGGGGUCCAAUGUCACCCCAGGAUGAUGAAGCAGAAGAGGAGAGUGAUAAUGAACUCUCAAGUGGAACAGGUGAUGUGUCUAAGGAUUGUCCUGAGAAGAUCCUGUAUUCUUGGGGAGAGUUGCUAGGAAAAUGGCACAGUAACCUUGGUGCACGACCGAAAGGGCUGUCUACUCUGGUGAAGAGUGGUGUCCCUGAAGCAUUGAGGGCAGAGGUAUGGCAGUUAUUGGCAGGCUGCCAUGACAACCAGGCAAUGCUGGAUAGAUACCGAAUUCUUAUCACAAAGGACUCAGCCCAGGAGAGUGUUAUUACUCGAGAUAUUCAUCGUACAUUUCCCGCACAUGAUUACUUUAAAGAUACUGGAGGAGAUGGUCAAGAAUCACUCUAUAAGAUCUGCAAGGCCUACUCUGUGUAUGAUGAAGACAUUGGGUACUGUCAAGGGCAGUCUUUUCUUGCUGCUGUAUUACUGCUGCAUAUGCCAGAGGAACAAGCAUUCUGUGUUUUGGUGAAAAUCAUGUACGACUAUGGUUUGAGAGACCUCUACAGAAACAACUUCGAAGAUCUUCAUUGCAAAUUCUACCAGUUGGAGAGACUAAUGCAGGAACAGCUACCGGACCUGCAUAGCCAUUUUUCUGAUCUGAACCUGGAAGCUCAUAUGUAUGCAUCCCAGUGGUUUCUCACUCUUUUUACUGCCAAGUUCCCACUCUGCAUGGUGUUCCACAUCAUUGACUUACUGCUUUGUGAGGGUUUGAACAUAAUCUUUCAUGUAGCUUUGGCUCUCCUAAAGACCUCAAAGGAAGACCUUCUGCAGGCUGAUUUUGAAGGUGCUUUAAAGUUCUUUAGAGUUCAGCUUCCAAAGAGAUACAGGGCAGAGGAAAAUGCAAGAAGACUGAUGGAGCAGGCUUGCAAUAUUAAAGUGGGUGUGUACACUGGCACUGAGCUGCAGUAGGAUUUUUCCUUGGAUAGUCUGGUCUGGAGCUGGGACAGCAGCUGCUGCUGUGGAAAGGCCAGCUGGCAAGAUGAUGGAAGAAAUCUCCAUUAUGGUAGCCUAUGACGCCCAUGUUUUCAGCCAGCUGCACGAUGAAGACUUCCUCACUAGUCUGGUGGCCAUCAGCAAGCCCAGGUCUAUGGUACCAACCAAGAAGCUGAAGAAAUAUGAGAAAGAAUAUCAGACAAUGCGAGAGAGUCAGCUGCAACAGGAAGACCCAAUGGAUAGAUACAAGAGGGAGAACCGAAGAUUACAGGAGGCCAGCAUGAGGUUGGAACAAGAGAAUGAUGACCUUGCCCAUGAACUAGUAACAAGCAAAAUUGCUCUACGGAAUGACUUGGAUCAGGCAGAAGACAAGGCAGAUGUGUUGAAUAAAGAGCUCCUUUUGACCAAACAGAGGCUGGUGGAGACUGAAGAGGAGAAGAGGAAGCAAGAGGAAGAGACUGCCCAGCUAAAAGAAGUCUUCAGGAAACAGCUAGAGAAGGCAGAAUAUGAAAUCAAGAAGACUACAGCUAUCAUUGCUGAGUAUAAACAGAUCUGUUCGCAGUUGAGUACCAGGCUGGAGAAACAGCAAGCAGCCAGCAAGGAGGAGCUGGAAGUGGUAAAGGGUAAGAUGAUGGCAUGCAAACACUGCAGUGACAUUUUCAGCAAGGAGGGUGCUUUGAAACUAGCAGCCACAAGCAGAGAGGACCAGGGAAUUGAAACAGAUGAUGAGAAGGACUCACUUAAGAAGCAGCUGAGAGAGAUGGAACUGGAACUGGCACAAACCAAACUGCAGUUGGUGGAGGCCAAGUGUAAAAUUCAGGAACUUGAACAUCAGAGAGGAGCCCUUAUGAAUGAAAUCCAAGCUGCGAAAAACUCUUGGUUUAGCAAAACCCUGAACUCUAUCAAAACGGCCACGGGCACCCAGCCAUUGCAGCCAGCACCGGUCACCCAGCCACCCAAGGAGAGCACAUAGUUCCAGCCUUACCCAAGCACAAGAGCACAAUGUUCAAAGCAAUGGAAAUCUGGGAGGAUUCUUCCUGGUAUCCCUUUGAAGGAAAGUCAAGGAGGCCAGAAAACAAGCCAGAAUCUUUCAUAGCUCUCACUCUUUCUUGUAUGACACUUUUCAAAGGGAUGUUAUUUAAACUGACCUGUUCUAUGUUGAAUACCUAUUUUCCAGCUUCAUGGAAGGCCAUGUUCAGAUCCAUCAUAGUAUUACACAUUAUUUUGUUUGCCUGAUGUUUAGUUGGAAAUAAGUAAUUCAGAACUAAAUGCUUUUUUAUUUAGAACUAAUUAUUCAUAAUUAUUUUUAUCUUACAUAAAAAUGGAGACAUCUGUUAUUCCAAGGUUGAAGUGGUAAGAAGAUCUUUGUCACAGGAAAAAAAAAUUGAAACCUGAACAUCUUAAGUUUUCAGGAUUUAUUCAGAUAAAGCACACUGUGGGGCCAGGCAUGACCACUCUCAGGUUUCCUCCUGAGCCUGAUUCCCAGGGGAGUGUUAAUCCUGUCCAAAGGAAAGAACCAAUCAGCGAUCAUUGGUUUACUUUCAUUUUCUGUUCGGUACAUCUGGAAAUGAAGUGCCAGGAAUAGACGGGCUGUUCAGAUUAUACGCUAGGUAAAAGGAACUGAGAUUUUAAUAAGUGUAGGUUAGGAUCAUUUGGGCUGUGGUAUUCUAACAGAUCCUUUUAAGAACUCCACAUAGGACUUGUGGGUUCCUAAGUACACCUAAGUAUGGACACAGAUGUGACUUCUGGCAAUUAUAAAGUUAAAGGUGGAUAUUGCGCCUUACAGACUUAGGGAGCCUUUACCAGAGACGCCUAAAAAGCCCCAGGUUCAGCCAUUGUGCUGAAUAGAGUGGAAUAUAGAACCAGGGACAGAGUAUUUCAUUUAACGUUGAUAUAUACUUGCUAAGGAAACACUAACAAUACUGUAACUUUGUUAAAGGACAUAGUAUUGAAAUGGGAAAUGGAGGUCAGGCUCACAUCAUCUUAGUUUAAUGCUGGGCAACUUUUUCUGAUUUCUGUAGUUCCCUGAAAAUGUGUCCUUCGUACCCAUAAAGAGAUACAAAUGCAUUUGUAACAUUUUUGAUUGAAUAUAAAACCUUUACAGAAAUACUUAUCUCAUGGAAAGGUAAAGCUAUUGUUUAAAAAUUAGUGGAAAUAUUUUUUCAAUUAUAUUUAACAUGCCUAUAAAAAUAGUCCUUGCAGGAAAUUAUUUGAUAAGAGCAAAACUAUUUUUAUUUUAUAAACUAUUUUGGAGGCCUCUGAUCCUUUCAAACCAACCAAACUACUAUUAGAUAUGUACAAUAACAUUUGUUGAUAUUCAUCAUUGGCCUCAUUGUUGAACAUAUUAUUUGCAAAGAAUCUUAAACUCUGUAGUGCCAGAAUGAUUCUCAUCUGUGCCAUAUUUUGCAAUUAAAAGUAACACACCCUUAGAAGAAUCAAAUAAGAGCCAUCUACAUCCCAGGAGGAUGCACCAAGUUGCUCACAGUGGAUCUUUUCCUCUAAAAUGAUCUUUUAUGUUCUAAAAAGUGAAAUCCCCUUUAUCUGUGUUUAUAUUCUCUACAGCCCAUAAAACUGAUGUGAUUGUUAUGUUAUACUCAUCAGAUACUUUUCUUACAUAAAUCUUUUGUUGUUGUUCUGACAUCUUUCAUUACAAAAUUUAUUUUCUUAACAAAAAGGAACAUAACCCAGCAUCCCAAGUGUCUGUGUUGGCUUUAACAUUCUCUACAUGGUGGUCUAGAUAAGCUAAUUUUUUUUUUUUUUUUUGUAAAAUGUAAUAGCUAGAAAAUGUUAUCUUGGCGCUUGUUUUUGUAAAUCAUUUAGUAUAGGCUGCUAGCUUUACUGGUACUUUACGCUUUGAUUCCAAGAAGCCUUGUGCAGUUGCCUUAUCAAAUGGCCAGCUAAAUUAAAGAUGCUCUUUUGUGUUGUGAAUUUCAUAGUUCUGUACAGAGCUUGUUUCAAUUUACAAAAAUAAGUACAUUCCACAGAAUGCCUAAAGUGUGUAAUUUUCUUUAAAUAAUAGUAGGUGAGGGAGAAACAUAGUGGCUCUAGGUCAAUCCCUUAUCUAAAGACCUUGUUCAACUUCAUAGUCCCUUUCCUUUUAAAGAGAAGAAGAGAAAAAUCCCCCCUGGCCAGGCAUGGUGGCUCACGUCUGUAAUCCCAGCACUUUGGGAGGCUGAGGUGGGUGGAUCACCUAAGGUCAGGAGUUUGAGACCAGCCUGGCCAACAUGGUGAAACCCUAUCUCUACUGCAAAAUACAAAAAUUAGCCGGGCUUGGUGGCGGGUGCCUGUAAUCCCAGCUACUUGGGAGGUUGAGGCAGGAGAAUCACUUGAACCCAGAAGGCAGAGGUUGCAGUGGGCCAAGAUUACGCCAUUACAUUCCAUCCAGCCUGGGCGACAAGAGCAAAAUUCCGUCUCGAAAAAUCACCAGGUACAUACCUCUCAAGUUUGGUAAGUCCAUCUUUUGAGUUUUCUUUUAGCUCUUUCAAAAGAUUACGAGGGCAAUACAUAGUUUUUUUUUUUUUUUCUCCAGCCCCAUAUCAUACUUGGGUAUGCCUGUUGGUACCAUAAGCCUAAACUCUCCUUCACUGCAAUGCCUUUGAGUCAGUAGCAAUAGUAAAGACUAGAAACAAAGAAAAUUCAGAAUUUGGUAUGUGAUAUGAUUGUUCAUACAAUAUGUUAUAAUAGCAAUAUUCCAAACAAUAUGUCCUUCACUGUCUAUUGUUGGAAAACUCAUGCAUCCCAGCAUGAAGUAACUCCUAGUUUUAAUUUUAGUUAUUUUGAGAUAUAUUUGAGAAUUGCAUCUCUUCUCUUGAAUUUCAUUUAGAAGAGAUUAACCAGCCAAAUAUCCAGGAAAGUUUCAAAACAUUCUAGUGUUUUUCAUCCUUUGCUAGGAUGCACUCUGUACAAAACAUUCCUCUGAAAAUCUAAUAUUUGCAGUAUCUAAGAAUUGAUCAUUUCUAUUUUCAUUAAAUUCUGUGGAAAAAAUUAAAUGAAUGAAAUUCAACUUCAUAAUUCAGUUCAUCAGCUUUUAUAUCUUGAGAAUCUAAACACGUCUUUAAAUCUGAAAGAAACCAAGCUGGAUUUUGCAGUGCAUAUGUUUGCUAGCUUCCCACAUCCUGAACCAUGUCAAAAUUUGGUUUUAUUUAGUUACAUAUAAUUUAAUGCAAAGAAAUUCUCAGUUACUUAAUGUUCUGUUUAUUUAUGAGUGCCUAUCAUCAGGAACACUAAUUCCUAUUAGUAUAGGAAUGCCAUUCAACCAGUGUCUUCUGCCCCUCUCCCAGCUGUUAAAUUAGUACUUUCUUCUUCAUUGGCUUUCUGAAAUGUCCUGAGUAAAGUAGAAAAGCAACCUUUGUAUGGAUGUGGGGAUAUUUAAUAGCAUGUAUCUUGUUUCAUUUUUUUUCCUAUGGUGUAUUAAUAUUUAUUUUUCUCCAACCCCUGCUCCAUUUUCUUAAAAUAUUUUCCAGUUAAUAACUAGUUGCUUUAUUUCCUAGCUGAAGUGAGAAAACCAACAGAAAACAAUACAGAUUUGGGCAGAGGAGCUAGAGUUACAUCUUUAAAGGAGUGAGCCAGUCACCCAGGAGAAUCACAUGUGUAACUGAUGUAGGGGUUUAAGUCUUCGUACUUUCACUAAAAUCUGUCUACUAACUCUCCCACCAACCUUUGCAUCGAACACUUAGGUAGCUGCCUGAUUAGGGGGGCCCCUUUAAGGGGAAAAAAAAAAACUUUUUAAAAAUUAAAUGCCUUGGUUUUGUUUUAUCUUCUGGGAAAGAACACUUUUACUUGAUUAGCAAGAUGAUUAUAUUAUAUAACUUGCCCUUAAAAACACUCCAAAAUACUGACUCUUUUUCUCCAAUUACAAAUGAGAGUGUGAAGAAAUUCUGUUGUAUGAUUUGAACACUAUUAGGUUUGUAUGUGUGUUUAAUUGGAAGAAUUUUAUAUAGAGUAUCUCUGCUUCUUUUGUUUACCUGGGUACCACACAACCAAAUACACAUUGAGAUUUCAAGAAAUGAUGAUGAAAGCCAGAAGGCCAGACCACAGCUCUGCAGCCUGUUUCCUACAACCAGAUAUAAAACUCUUUCUCGUCGGCAUGCUGAUAGUCACACUGAACUAGAACUGUCCCAACACAUUCUUCCUCUCUCAUAAUGGCUUCCAUUUAAUACAGGCAAAGCCCUUUACCUUAGCAAAUUCUUUAUCUUUCAAAAGUGACCAAAAUGAGGACUUCAACCUUGGCUGCACCUCAAUAGGAGAUGCUGAUCUUGAGUUGUAAUGAGAAAAGUGGGCAUACAGAAGAUUUUAGUGACUGCAGUCAGCUGUCUGGCAUUCCUUUCUCAGUUUCCAUCUAAAAGACUACAUAUGUCAAGCUUAUCUCCACCUGAAUUUGCUGCCUGCUACAAAAACAUUUCAUUAAUAUAUCCCAUUCUUCCUACCUCCAUCUCUGGUUUGUCAUUAGUGGUAUUCUGAAAAGCUUAAGAAAAAAGAAUCAUUGAGUAGAAAGUGAACAUUUUAAGUUAUUUUCCUUUUUCAUUGGCAAUUAGUUAACAUGUAAAAUCUUUUCCAUUAAACUGUAUAACUUUUAAUAACUAUAUAUUAUAUAUGGGAAUAAAAUAUAUGGACUGAAUUGUGAGAAUAUAAAUGCAUCGAAAGACUCUGGUGUCAUGAAAGCACAAGAAUAAGGCUGGAGAUGGUCCCAGAUCCAAGAUGUCCCAAAAGCCUUUUGUAUCAGUUUCUCUAUUUUUGGUAUUUUGCAUAAUGCAUGGAUCCUUAGUUCAAAUGAGGGACAAAGUUUCUCAGUCAGCCCCACUUCCUUUCUUUCUAACUCCUACCUUUCCCUUGCAGAGGAGGUAGUAGAGAUUCUGAAUUGUCUAUUUUUAUGAAUUCCAUUAUUUUGUCCAUGGCAUCUCUAAUGAAAACAGGUUCUAGAAUAAAGGAGUUGAUUAGUCUGAACAGUACUAAUUAACUACAAAAUAAACGUUAGUGAUCAGCCUCUUCCUCUAUAAACAAUGACCAAUUAGACGUUUCCGUAAUUCCAUGUAUUAUGUAUAGUACACUCUAUAAAUGUAAAUGUAAUGCUUGUCUAAAAAGUGCAAUUUAUUGUACAUUGUCCCAACAAAUGUUUACUUUUAUAAUCGUUAUGAACUUGAAUUGGAUUAGUAUUUUGUUUUUAUGUGUGAAUGAAGCCUUGUGAAAUAAACAGUUGCAACUGAGAAGGUAACAAGGUGACUGUUUUUGUGAGCCAGUGAUGUUUUCAAUGCUUUGUGUUGCCCCUUUGGCCCCAUUAAGCAGUAAUAAACAUUUGUUCUGAAGUCCA